AUCACGUCAAGUCACGUCACUCCUCGCUAACCCACCUCCUUGUCUCUUCCAGGCAGCAUAUAAACACUGCGAUCCAUCUUCCUCCAGCCUACCCGGUAACAUCACGGUGACCAUUAGCGGAGCUGAGAUGCGGAGGGCGCACAGACGGUAGCUGAGGGGGGACAGGUGAAGCCUUACUCACCCAGAGCCAGAACACGCUGCAUGUCGGCUUCAUUUCCUGUUGCUCCCGUCGACAAAACAAUUAAAGGAAAAGAAGAUGUGGAUGGAGAUUAAAACUAUGUCAUGGUUGUGCUGAGUGGAAGACUAGUGAUUUUGUUGUGCAGCUGAUCAAAGAACAACAAGUCCCAGUCUACCUCUUAGCACGAGCAGCGCCCAUCGGUAUAGUCGCUACCUUUGACCCGUCCGCCCCAGCGACGUUGACGUUAAUGCCAGGAUUUCUUGUUAAUCCAGCAGCAACAAUAAAAAAAACCCUCCCUUUAAAAUCCACUUCAAAUGUUCUGAUUCAGCCACCGUAGGAAUGGGUGUUCAGUCAUCUUAAUUACAGGCAAAACUGCAAUCAAAAGUGUAAUUUAAGCACAACUCGUGCAGAGAAAGCUGCUCGGGGAAAUACUGUAAUUAUAUCAUAAAGUGCCUUGCACAAAACACACAGCCUUGAAUCAUUGUUUUUCAUUCAUUUCCAAAGAUUCAGAUUAGUCACACAUUGCCAUGUAUUGUUUUGUUAAAUGUUUACGGAUUAAUAAAUGCUGUAAUGUAACUCCUGCUUAGCAUUUUUACUUGUGAAAUUAAAGAACAAUUAAAACG